rnacentral:lncRNA from 1 species
UGUCGCCGCCACCUGCCAUCAUCACCAGUCCACCACCAUCCUCCAUCACUGAACUUCCUAACCCAUAUAUCCUCCCUCUCUCUCUCCCUUCACCACCACCACCAUCACCACCCAUCAACCACCUCCUCUGUGCCCAUCACCACCCCACCACUAAACUUAAUGUUAAACCCCUAUCAUCUACCAAAACUAACUCUAGAAUCAAACCCCAACUUUUAUAAUCAAAAUCCCCAAAUACAUUAAAUACAUGUACAAUGUAAUUCAUCGUUUAGAAAUUCCAAGAACUUGCAGCAAAGAUCUCUUUAGUCGACCUUGGUGAGUUUCCGGCGGUGGUCUUGGCUGGUGUUCGAUUAGAUGACGGCGGCAUUAGGGUUCCGGUUUUUAGGAUUGUGGGUUGCAGAGGACGACGACCAUGGUGGUUGGCUGGCGACAGUGUCGAAUUUAGUCAUGAGAAGGUGGUGGUGAGGUGGUGGCGAUUGGUGGUCAUGGAGGUGGUUGUUGGGGAUGAAGAGAGAGAAGAUAGGUGGUUGUUCUGAUUUCAAGGUGGUGGUUGAUGGUGGUGGGCGGUCGCCAGCGGUGAUGAUGGGGCUGAUGGUGGCUGGGUAGGGUUGAGACUUAAGAGAGAAGAGAGUGCACAGAGGGUAGAAGAGAAUGAAGAGAUGAUGGGUUUGUAAUAUUUUAUUAUUAUAUAUAAUAAUAUAAUCUUUUAUUUG